rnacentral:rRNA from 1 species
GCUACGGGAGGCAGCAGUGGGGAAUAUUCCACAAUGGGGGAAACCCUGAUGCAGCGACGCCGCGUGCGUGAAGAAGUAUUUCGGUAUGUAAAGUGCUAUCAGCAGGGAAGAAAAUGACGGUACCUGAUUAAGAAGCCCCGGCUAACUACGUGCCAGCAGCCGCGGUAAUACGUAGGGGGAACGCGUUAUCCGGAUUUACUGGGUGUAAAGGGAGCGUAGACGGUAGCACAUGUCUGGAGUGAAAUGCCGGGGCUUAACCCCGGAACUGCUUUGGAAACUGUGCAGCUAGAGUGUAGGAGAGGUAAGGGGAAUUCCAAGUGUAGCGGUGAAAUGCGUAGUGAUAAGGAGGAACACCAGUGGAGAAG